rnacentral:lncRNA from 1 species
UUUUUUUUUUUUUUUUUUUUCACAUUAAUCAUGAACCAUUUAUUAGCUUUUUUACUCUGAAACUUAGAGGCUGUGCACUCGCCCUUAUUUCCUAAAACGAACAGUUUUUCCAGCAGGGGCCCUCUCGCCACGUGUCUGAUUCCUGGCUGAAACACGUGGCAGCUCUCGGCUUUGCAGAUAAAGUUUUUUAUACCAUCUUUAUUAUCCAACACAAAACAUAGAACAUUCAUUCAUACAGACUGGACACGAACAUACAUGAAUUGAACACGAGAACAGAUUGGUGCACCGGACAUUAGACAAGACACAAAAGGGAACAGAGUACUCUUGCUAUAAGGCCCAGAGAGAAAUUUCUCUCUGCUUUUGGGGACACUUUCCUCCCUUAUGAUGCAUUUUUUAUUAACUGGGGCAAUCCGCCUAUUCCUUUUAAUAAACCCUUUCUUUUCUCACACCUCAUGUAGCUUCGGAGAGCUACGGCCUACCGCCUAUUACCCAGCUCCUCACUGCUGAACCUAAGUGAACCAGCGCUCGGGUUUAACGCUGUCUCAGCUUAGCCCAUACCUUCUCCGGUAUGAAUUUCCCUUAUCCUUUAUUUUAUGGAGCUCCGAACCAGCAGCGUCUCUUCCAAAAAUCCUUUGCCGUUUCUCAGUCCCGCGUUGGUUCGCCAAUUGUUGUGUCCGGCCAGCAGACCACAACCUGGGUUCUAGCCUGGAAAGGCAUUUUGGAAACCUGGAAGAGAAGAGGGGCUAGGUGGCGAGAGAAAAGAAUGUAGCCAAGACAGUUACUCUGAUCAAGGCUCCGAAAAUUGCCUAAUUUUCAAUACUAUAUCAUUCAUUUUCUGGUACUUUGUUUUAGGCUACAAUUGGGAAGACCAUCAUAUUGAAGAACAUUGUCAAAGUUCUAGAAGACAUGAAAGGCAUGAAAGAAUUCAUAUUGGAGAGAAACCGUAUGAACGUAACCAAUGGGGUAAAGCCUUUGCAAGUGACAAUCAUCUCCAAAUACGUAAAAGAACAAAUACUGGAGAGAAACCUUAUGAAUGUAAUCAAUGUGGUAAAGCCUUUUCACAACAGAGUAGUCUCCAGUAUCAUAAAAGAACAUAUGCUGGACAGAAACCUUAUGAAUGUAAUCAGUGUGGUAAAGCCUUGUCAUGUCAAAGAAAUCUCCAAUAUCAUAAAAGAACACAUACUGGAGAGAAACCCUAUGAAUGUAAUCAGUGUGGUAAAGCCUUCACACAUUACAAUAAUCUCCGAUAUCAUAAAAGAACACAUACUGGAGAAAAACCUUAUGAAUGUAAUCAGUGUGGUAAAGCCUUUGCACGUUACAAUAAUCUCCAGUGUCAUAAAAGAACACAUACUGGAGAGAAACCUCAUGUGUGUGAUCAAUGUGGUAAAACCUUUGCAUGGCAGUAUACUCUCCAAAAACAUAAAAGAAUACAUACUGGAGAGAAACCUUAUCAAUGUAGUCAAUGUGAUAAAGCAUUUUCAGAACACAGUAGUCUUCAAUAUCAUAAAAGAA